rnacentral:rRNA from 1 species
AAUAUUGGACAAUGGGGGCAACCCUGAGCCAGCGAUGCCGCGUGUGUGAAGAAGGUCUUCGGAUUGUAAAGCACUUUAAGUUGGGAGGAAGGGCUUUAGGUUGAUACCCUGAAGUAUUGACGUUCCCCAAAGAAUAAGCACCGGCUAACUCUGUGCCAGCAGCCACGGUAAUACAGAGGGUGCAAGCGUUAAUCGGAAUUACUGGUCGUAAAGCGCGCGUAGGUGGUUCAGUAAGAUGGGUGUGAAAUCCCCGGGCUUAACCUGGGAACUGCUUUCAUAACUGCUGAGCUAGAGUACGGUAGAGGGUAGUGGAAUUUCCUGUGUAGCGGUGAAAUGCGUAGAUAUAGGAAGGAACACCAGUGGCGAAGGCGACUACCUGGACUGAUACUGACACUGAGGUGCGAAAGCGUGGGGAGCAAACA